AGUCCUUCGCCGUCCCUCGCCGUCCUUCGCCAUCGCACGCCACCGCACCCCAUCUCUCGAAAUCUGCAGACAUCUUGAUUUUUCCCACGCUGUCUGUCAGGUCUCCGCCGCCACUCGACGCCAGGGCGCCGGGCCUUGUGGGCUGUGCUGCACCUCGGACGGCUUCGCACCAGCCAGCGCCCUCUCUCUCCUGCAGCACUCUGAUCUGCACCCCCUGAGGGGCUUCCACUGUCCGCGGGGUGAGAAUGCCCCUGGGAGUGUCACAUGACUGCCGCCCCAUGUGUGUGAGAGGCGUCCUCUGGGAGAGCAUGGAUCCUGAGGUCCCAGGUCUCAGCCUUAGAUCCAAGGACAGUCCAAGGAAGUCCUAAGACCAUGGAGUUGGUGAUCUGGGAUCUGGGUUUGCUGAUAUUUCUCACCGUGAAUCUCUUGGUGGUGUUUGUGGGCACGAGAGGGGCAGAGAAUGGAGAGUGAGGCUACCACAUGAAGCGUCACCAGAGCUGCUCCCUGCUGCCUGCUCAGAGCACCCCGGAUCCACUGUUCAAUCUGCACAAGAUUCGGGGUCCAGACAUGGGAGACUUCAGCUGCCUCAGAGGACCGUGGACAGGGAAGGCCAGCCUCGCAUCCCUCUGUCCAUGCCUGGAAUGACUUUAAUAACCAAGAGUUUUAUUUUUGAAUUUGUAGCUGUCGUUCACUUUUUACCCACCCAUUCAAUAAACCUUACAGAAUUGCUCCA
rnacentral:lncRNA from 1 species